GGCUUAGAAGCAGCCACUCAUUAAAAGAGUGCGUAAUAGCUCACUGGUCGAGUGAUCCCGCGCCGAAAAUUUAACGGGGCUAAACUAUAAACCGAAGCUUGGGAUACCGUAAGGUAUGGUAGGAGAGCGUCAUGUAAGGGGUGAAGUCAUAGCGAAAGCGGUGGUGGACUUUACAUGAGUGAGAAUGCCGGAAUGAGUAGCGAGAAUUAAGUGAGAAUCUUAAUGGCCGAAAGUCUAAGGUUUUUGGAGGAAGGUUCGUCCGCUCCAAGUAAGUCGGGAGCUAAGGCGAGGCCGAAAGGCGUAGUCGAUGCACAUACGGUUGAUAUUCCGUAACCACUGACAACUUAAACAAAAUGACACUUUAGAAGGGCUUGACCCGGGUGCUGGUAAUCCCGGGCGUAAGGGACCGAAAUUUAGUAGGGAAGCAAGCUUAGAUAGAGGCGAGAAAAGUUUUGUGUAUGUAAUGUUGGUGCCCGUACCGCAAACCGACACAGGUGGACAGGAAGAGAAUUCUAAGGCCAGCGGGAGAAGGGUAGUUAAGGAACUCGGCAAAUUGACUCCGUAACUUCGGGAAAAGGAGUGCUCUCGAGAGAGAGCCGCAGUGAAUAGGCCCAGGCGACUGUUUAGCAAAAACACAGGUCUCUGCCAAAUCGAAAGAUGAAGUAUAGGGGCUGACACCUGCCCGGUGCUGGAAGGUUAAGAGGAGGAGUGAGAGCUCCGAAUUGAAGCCCCAGUAAACGGCGGCCGUAACUAUAACGGUCCUAAGGUAGCGAAAUUCCUUGUCGGGUAAGUUCCGACCCGCACGAAUGGUGUAACGAUCUGGGCACUGUCUCAACUACCCGCCCGGCGAAAUUGUAGUACCGGUGAAGAUGCCGGUUACCUGCGACAAGACGGAAAGACCCCAUGGAGCUUUACUGUAGCUUGAUAUUGGGUUUCGGUAAUUUAUGUACAGGAUAUGUGGGAGACUGGGAAGUUAUGGCGCCAGCCAUAAUGGAGUCGAUGUUGGGAUACCACACUUAGAUUGCUGGAAUUCUAACCUGUGGCCAUGAAACUGGUCAGGGGACAUUGUCAGGUGGGCAGUUUGACUGGGGCGGUCGCCUCCGAAAGAGUAACGGAGGCGCUCAAAGGUUGGCUCAGCACGGACGGAAACCGUGCAUUAGAGUGUAAACGCGUAAGCCAGCCUAACUGCGAGGGUGACGGCCCGAGCAGUAACGAAAGUUGGAGUUAGUGAUCCGGCGGUAUGUGAAUGGAAAUGCCGUCGCUCAACGGAUAAAAGCUACCCUGGGGAUAACAGGCUGAUCU
rnacentral:rRNA from 1 species